AGAAAAGAGGUGUAAAUGAGGAGCCGGGAGCAACUGGGAACCAAUAUUUGUAAGACUAUUGCAGUAAUGCAUCAUUCUUGAGACUUGCUGCCUUUUGAUGCGCCUCUAAAUGAAGGGUGAAAUGAGAACAUCGCGAACAAGAAGAUAUUUCAGAAUUGUUUCUGGUAUGCCUGUCCAAAGGAGAGGAAGGUCAUGACACAAAGCCCUGUCAUCUGCAUCAGUCUUUCUCUUCAAUCCAAAGGAGGAAGAU